UGCAGUCGAACGGUGAAGGUGGAGCUUGCUCUGCUGGAUCAGUGGCGAACGGGUGAGUAACACGUGAGCAAUCUGCCCCGAACUCUGGGAUAACCACGGGAAACCGUGGCUAAUACUGGAUAUGUACCGCGAUCGCAUGGUCUGUGGUUGGAAAGAUUUUUCGGUUCGGGAUGAGCUCGCGGCCUAUCAGCUUGUUGGUGAGGUAAUGGCUCACCAAGGCGACGACGGGUAGCCGGCCUGAGAGGGUGACCGGCCACACUGGGACUGAGACACGGCCCAGACUCCUACGGGAGGCAGCAGUGGGGAAUAUUGCACAAUGGGCGCAAGCCUGAUGCAGCAACGCCGCGUGAGGGAUGACGGCCUUCGGGUUGUAAACCUCUUUUAGUAGGGAAGAAGCGAAAGUGACGGUACCUGCAGAAAAAGCACCGGCUAACUACGUGCCAGCAGCCGCGGUAAUACGUAGGGUGCAAGCGUUGUCCGGAAUUAUUGGGCGUAAAGAGCUCGUAGGCGGUUUGUCGCGUCUGCUGUGAAAUCCCGAGGCUCAACCUCGGGCCUGCAGUGGGUACGGGCAGACUAGAGUGCGGUAGGGGAGAAUGGAACUCCUGGUGUAGCGGUGGAAUGCGCAGAUAUCAGGAAGAACACCGAUGGCGAAGGCAG
rnacentral:rRNA from 1 species